GGUAGCUCAAGGGUAGAGCAAAGCAGUUAGUUGUGGGGCGUAGGUUCGAUUCCUACUCCUGA
rnacentral:tRNA from 2 species